GACGAACGCUGGCGGCGUGCCUAACACAUGCAAGUCGAGCGGGACAUAGCAAUAUGUCCAGCGGCGGACGGGUGAGCAACACGUGAGGAGCCUGCCCUUCAGAGGGGAACAACACCGGGAAGCCGGUGCUAAUACCGCAUGACGUCCCGGGCCGACAGCGUCGUGGGACCAAAGGAGUAACCCGAUGGAGGAUGGCCUCGCGUCCGCUUAGGUAGUAGGCGGGGUAACGGCCAACCAAGGCGACGAUCGGUAGCCGGACUGAGAGGUUGAUCGGCCACAUUGGGACUGAGACACGGCCCAGACUCCUACGGGAGGAAGCAGUGGGGAAUAUUGCACAAUGGGGGAAACCCUGGUGCAGCAACGCCGCGUGAGUAAUGACGGUCUUCGGAUUGUAAGGCUCUGUCUUCAGGGACGAUAAUGACGGUACCUGAGGAGGAAGCCACGGCUAACUACGUGCCAGCCGCCGCCGUAAAAC
rnacentral:rRNA from 1 species